GUCCAAUUUAUGUCCGAUUAAGGUCCAAUUUACGUCCGAUUAAGGUCCAAUUUACGUCCCCUAGGACGUCCGAUUAAGGUCCAAUUUGCGUCCGAUUAAGUUCCAAUAUACGUCCCCUCGGACCUUAGAUGGACGUCCAAUGGACGUUCGGUAGCGCGACAUUUGGACCAAAAUAGGACGUAUAAAGGACGUUCCUCGGAC
rnacentral:lncRNA from 1 species